UCCUUGGGUUAUGAUGUCUCAUUCUGCAUUCUACUGGAGACUCCUACUACCAGCCAAUGGACUAAGUUGGGGGACAAACUAGUCUUAGACGGAGUCAUUAACAAAAAGGAGAUCAAUUCUGAAGCAAUUAAAUAAGCAGCCGACAAGGCUUUUUAAGCACCAGAGCAUUUGUCUCAAUAGAAAGCAGAGCAAGACCAAAGCUUUGAACUGCAGAGAAGGUGAUGAAAAAGGAGAUUCCUUUUUAAAACAAUCUAUCAAUGAAUUCUUCUAUCAACACAUCAUGAGUCCAUUCCCUUUACCAAUAUCCACAGGAAAUGGAAAAACAACAUGGAUCUGCAGAAAAGCAAGAGACUUGGAAUUUUGGCAACUGCCAGUCAACUGAGAUGGAGUCACAGUUCCAUGGAAUUUUGAAGGAAGCAGUUGGGCAGCUUGAGCUGUUUUGAGACUCACUUCUUUUCUGACAGUUGGGAGAAAGCCAGACUCUCUCUUGUUCAAUGAUUAUCUGACUGAGUACUGAGAAGACUUUUAGAACUUAGCUCAGAAGAAACUCUGCCAUCCAGUUGUUAUCAACAUCUCCCCUUAGAGAAAAAUCACUUUAUUUCCUGAAUUGAGAGCUCCAAUCAACAGGAAAAUAUAGGAAGUUAGAGAAACCCAUUUUCCUCUCUCCCCCCCUCCUUCUCCUUACUUCCUAUAUUUAAAAGAAUAAAAACUUUUUGUUAAAAAUUUGAGGGUGAAAG
rnacentral:lncRNA from 1 species